rnacentral:lncRNA from 1 species
AAAUGGGGAUAAAUUGGUUAAAAAGGGGGGGAAAUGGGUGAAACUUUUUGGCUGCUGACACUGAUCCAGGGCUGGGGAAACAUCACCCCACACCCAGGGGCUGAACUGGGAUGGACUGGGAUGGACUGGGAGGGACUGGGAGGGACUGGGAUGAACUGGGAGGGACUGGGAUGAACUGGGAGGGACUGGAAUGGACUGGGAACACUGGGAUGGAACUGGGAGCAGAGCCUGAGCUGGGCUAGGCUGUGCAGUGGUCACUCACAGGCCCAGCAGUGGUCCAUACCGGUCCAUACUGGUUUAUACUGGUCCAUACUGGUCCAUACCAGUCCAUACUGGUCCAUACUGGUCCAUACUGGUCCAUACUGGUCCAUACUGGUCCAUACCGGUCCAUACUGGUCCAUACUGGUCCAUACCGGUUUAACUGGUCUACACUGGUCUAUACCUUUCCAUACUGGUUUAUUCCAGUCCGUACUGGUCUAUACCGGUCCAUACCAGUCCAAACCAAUCCAUACUGGUCCAUACUGUUCUGUACUGGUCCGUACCAGUCCAUACUGGUUUAUACUGGUCCAUACUGGUCAGUACUGGUCCAUACACAUCCAUACUGGUUUAUACCGGUCUAUACCCGUCCGUACUGGUCCAUACUGGUUUAUACUGGUCUAUACUGGUCCAUACUGGUCCAUACCGGUCCAUACUGGUUUAUACUGGUCCAUACUGGUCUGUACUGGUCCAUACUGGUUUAUACCGGUCCAUACCGGUUUAUACCGGUCCAUACUGGUUUAUACUGGUCCAUACCGGUCCAUAGUGGUUUAUACAGGUCCAUACUGGUUUACACUGGUCCAUACCGGUCCAUACUGGUCCAUACUGGUCCAUACUGGUCCAUACUGGUCCAUACUGGUCUAUACUGGUCCAUACUGGUUUAUACCGGUCCAUACCGGUUUAUACUGGUCCAUACUGGUUUAUACUGGUCCAUACCGGUCCAUACUGGUUUAUACUGGUCCAUACUGGUCUACACCGUCCCGCCCCAGCCGGCGCCGUCCCCCUGGCGCUGUCCCCGGUGAGUUUUCAGGUGCUCCCGGAGGUGGUGUUUGAGCUUGAAGCGUUUGUGGCAGCGGCCGCAGGGGAAGGGCCGCAGGCUCAGGGUCAGCAGGACGUGGCGGUCGCGCUUGGGCCGCGCCGCGAAGCGUUUCCCGCACGCGCAGCCGAAGCGCUUCCCGUCCGCCGGCGCCGCCGCCAGC